UACGUAGGUGGCAAGCGUUGUCCGGAUUUAUUGGGUUUAAAGGGUGCGUAGGCGGCUUUGUAAGUCAGUGGUGAAAUAUGGCAGCUCAACUGUCAAGGUGCCAUUGAUACUGCGGAGCUUGAGUACAGAUGAGGUAGGCGGAAUUGACGGUGUAGCGGUGAAAUGCUUAGAUAUCAGGAGGAAUACCGAUGGCGAAGGCAGGUCUCUGGGCUGACACUGACGCUCAUGCACGAAGCGUGGGGAGCAACAGG
rnacentral:rRNA from 1 species